GACGAACGCUGGCGGCGUGCUUAACACAUGCAAGUCGAACGGUAAGGCUCCAGCUUGCUGGGGUACACGAGUUGCGAACUGGUUAGUAACACGUGGGUGACCUUCCCUUCACUUCGGGAUAAGCCUGGGAAACUUGGUCUAAUACCGGCUAGGACCGCACCGUUUUGGUGUGGUUGAAAGUUUUUUCGGUUUGGGAUGGGCCCGCGGCCUAUCAGCUUGUUGGUGGGGUAAUGGCCUACCAAGGCGGCGACGGGUAGCCGGCCUGAGAGGGUGGACGGCCAAAGUGGGACUGAGACACGGACAAGACACAGACGGGAGGAAGAAGGGGGGAAUAGUGAAAAAUGGGAGGAAGCAUGAGGCAGAGAAGGCGAGUGGGGGAGGAAGGCCAACGGGUUGUAAACACAAAGAAAAAUCGACGAAGGGUAUAUGAAGGUAGAUGGAGAAGAAGCACCGGCUAAAUACGUG
rnacentral:rRNA from 1 species